rnacentral:rRNA from 1 species
GACGAACGCUGGCGGCGUGCUUAACACAUGCAAGUCGAGCGGUAAGGCCCUUUCGGGGGUACACGAGCGGCGAACGGGUGAGUAACACGUGGGUGACCUGCCCUCAGCUCUGGGAUAAGCCUGGGAAACCGGGUCUAAUACUGGAUAUGACUCCAUGACGCAUGUUGUGGGGUGGAAAGCCUUGUGCGGCUGAGGAUGGGCCCGCGGCCUAUCAGCUUGUUGGUGGGGUGAGGCCGUACCAAGGCGACGACGGGUAGCCGGCCUGAGAGGGCGACCGGCCACACUGGGACUGAGACACGGCCCAGACUCCUACGGGAGGCAGCAGUGGGGAAUCUUGCGCAAUGGGCGAAAGCCUGACGCAGCGACGCCGCGUGAGGG